rnacentral:rRNA from 1 species
GACGAACGCUGGCGGCGUGCUUAACACAUGCAAGUCGAGCGGUAAGGCCCUUUCGGGGGUACACGAGCGGCGAACGGGUGAGUAACACGUGGGUGACCUGCCCUCAGCUCUGGGAUAAGCCUGGGAAACCGGGUCUAAUACUGGAUAUGACUCCCAUGACGCAUGUUGUGGGGUGGAAAGCCUUGUGCGGCUGAGGAUGGGCCCGCGGCCUAUCAGCUUGUUGGUGGGGU